rnacentral:lncRNA from 1 species
UCAUAAAGAAAAGGUAAAUAACUUUCAAUGUUAUAUGAUAAUUCCUUUUUGCUGGAUAAAUUUGGGGUUUUCGUUUGCACAUUUUAAGGAUAGUAUGGCACCAAAUGCGAGCGCUAAAUAGUCAUGGAGCAUCUCGAGUAUUUGCUUUAGAGAGUGUUGUUGUAUAUCUCCUUAGUCACUCCGAUUCCAGUUGUUAAUGUAGAUUCUGAAGUCUUUUCUUAUCCUAUUCCUAGUCUCCAAUAUCCCACUAAUUGUUUUUAAGACCUUCCACUUUUAAAACUUCUUGUCACGAAACAAGAAAACUCAACCACUAGUUGUUAUUUUCUCUCUUAAUUGGUAGAAUAUUUUUAUUUUUGAUGUAAAUAUACAAGAGAAGAUAGAUAUCU